rnacentral:tRNA from 1 species
CGAGGCUCCCCGGUGGCAGGAUCGGUGUUAUGAACACCGAGACGGACUGGGCGUACCGGGUGUUCGAGCCGCACGGCUCCGA